UACGAAGGGUGCAAGCGUUACUCGGAAUUACUGGGCGUAAAGCGUGCGUAGGCGGUUUGUUAAGUCCGUUGUGAAAGCCCUGGGCUCAACCUGGGAAUUGCAGUGGAUACUGGCGAGCUAGAGUCCGGAAGAGGAGAGUGGAAUUCCUGGUGUAGCGGUGAAAUGCGCAGAUAUCAGGAAGAACACCCGUGGCGAAGGCGGCUCUCUGGGACGGUACUGACGCUGAGGAGCGAAAGCGUGGGGAGCGAACAGG
rnacentral:rRNA from 1 species